rnacentral:rRNA from 1 species
UACGUAGGGGGCAAGCGUUAUCCGGAUUUACUGGGCGUAAAGCGCGCGUAGGCGGUUCCGUAAGUUGGUUGUGAAAUUUCGAGGCUCAACCUCGAAACUGCGUCCAAUACUGCGGAGCUGGAGUGCAAGAGAGGCAAGUGGAAUUCCCGGUGUAGUAGUGAAAUGCGUAGAUAUCGGGAGGAACACCAGUGGCGAAGGCGGCUUGCUGGCUUGUAACUGACGCUGAGGCGCGAAAGCUAGGGGAGCGAACGGG